UCCGGCUUCCCGCCGGCAGUCUCCCGAGAGUCCCCGGCAUGACCCGCUGGUAACUGAGAACAAGGGUUGCGCUCGUUGCGGGACUUAACCCAACAUCUCACGACACGAGCUGACGACAGCCAUGCAGCACCUGUGCAGGAGUCCCGAAGGAGGCCCGUGGUUUCUCACGGGUUUCCCCUGCAUGUCAAGCCCAGGUAUGGUUCUUCGCGUUGCGUCGAAUUAAACCACAUGCUCCACCGCUUGUGCGGGCCCCCGUCAAUUCCUUUGAGUUUCAGCCUUGCGGCCGUACUCCCCAGGCGGGGCACUUCAUGCGUUAGCGCCGGUACUCCAAGGGUCGCUCCCCGGAGCACCUAGUGCCCAUCGUUUACGGCGUGGACUAC
rnacentral:misc_RNA from 1 species